rnacentral:rRNA from 1 species
AACACAUGCAAGUCGAGCGGCAGCGAGAUCAGUAGCAAUACUGAUUGUCGGCGAGCGGCGGACGGGUGAGUAAUACGUAGGAACCUGCCCAGAAGUGGGGAAUAACUAAUGGAAACGUUAGCUAAUACCGCAUACAUUCGGGAGAAGAAAGCUGCCGGUAACGGUGGCGCUUUUGGAGGGGCCUGCGUCCGAUUAGCUAGUUGGUGAGGUAAUGGCUCACCAAGGCGAUGAUCGGUAACUGUUCUGAGAGGAAGAUCAGCCACACUGGGACUGAGACACGGCCCAGACUCCUACGGGAGGCAGCAGUUAGGAAUAUUGGACAAUGGGCGCAAGCCUGAUCCAGCCAUGCCGCGUGAGUGAUGAAGGCCUUCGGGUUGUAAAGCUCUUUAGCCGACGAAUAUAAUGACUGUAGUCGGAGAAUAAGCCCCGGCUAACUUCGUGCCAGCAGCCGCCGUAA